GCACCUUAGCCAUUUUCUUACCACACGCGUUUUCUUGGAUACUUCCAUUUUUCCAGUCUAUAUAAUUCAAUACUUCUGUGACAGAGAGGUGUUGGAGUUUUUUGUUUUGCUUUUGUUUUUUCGCAACUCUUUACAUACAAACAGCUAUGGUCUCCCAGGAAGGAACUUCCUCUGUUGAGUACAGAAGUCUGGGAAAAGACUGGUGAAAUUGCAUGCGAGGAAGAAACAGGUCUAACUAAAUGUGAAUCUAUACUUUUAAAGCAAGGGACCACAAAGGGUAGGUCCCAAGGAAGUUGCAUUGCUUGCUGCACUUGUCACACGGGCUGUACUUUCUUCUCUCAUUUAUUUCCAUUUACAGCGUUGAAAACUGAGGCCUUAGGCUUUGGUUGAAAACCGAGGCCAAGGGUGACCAGCCAGUGAGUUAAGGAGGCCCCAGCCGAACUUUGCUGGAAGUGCUCCAGCAUAAAGCCUCUCUCCAGAACCAGCCGCCACUGAGACGUCUUGAAGUCAAAGUAACUCACACCCUUGUCCACCUCGCCCUGCGGUGAAGAAACUUCGGUCGCACAGGCUCCAGAACUCAUCUUGGCGUGGGCUGUGACUUACUGGGGGAUGGGCCUCCUUUUCGUUCUAGCUCCUAAAUGGAGCGGAGCGCCAGGUGGUGUCAGAGGGGGCGGCGGCCCCUCCAAUGGUGGCACCCUCAGCCACGGAUAAGGUUCCAAUUAGUCACACCAGCCCUGCUAACUGGAUGGUCGCAGCCCCGUGCCUUCGCCGGACGCCCUCCUGGAACCUUCAGGCCACCCUGAGGAUGGAGACUCGGGUGCCCGCUCUCCUCCCCUACCGCCGCGGGCCUGCGCCCCCCGCCCCGGACCCCGACUCGGACGUUCUAGCCGCACGUGCGGGCGCCCCUGGGUGCGAGCCGCGGACUCACGAGCCGCUGCUUGUUGCUCCCGCCGCCGCGACCUGGGGAAGCGAAAAUGAAAUUGACUUUUCCGAGAAAUGAUGAAAGCGGCGCUGCCCGCCAAUGAGCUGCUGCGGCGAACUUCCGC
rnacentral:lncRNA from 1 species